AUUGAACGCUGGCGGCAGGCUUAACACAUGCAAGUCGAGCGGGGUGAUGGUGCUUGCACUAUCACUUAGCGGCGGACGGGUGAGUAAUGCUUAGGAAUCUGCCUAUUAGUGGGGGACAACAUCUCGAAAGGGAUGCUAAUACCGCAUACGUCCUACGGGAGAAAGCAGGGGAUCGCUUGUGACCUUGCGCUAAUAGAUGAGCCUAAGUCGGAUUAGCUAGUUGGUGGGGUAAAGGCCUACCAAGGCGACGAUCUGUAGCGGGUCUGAGAGGAUGAUCCGCCACACUGGGACUGGGACACGGCCCAGACUCCUACGGGAGGCAGCAGUGGGGAAUAUUGGACAAUGGGGGGAACCCUGAUCCAGCCAUGCCGCGUGUGUGAAGAAGGCCUUAUGGUUGUAAAGCACUUUAAGCGAGGAGGAGGCUUACCUAGUUAAUACCUGGGAUAAGUGGACGUAACUCGCAGAAUAAGCACCGGCUAACUCUGUGCCAGCCGCCGCCGUAA
rnacentral:rRNA from 1 species